rnacentral:misc_RNA from 1 species
UCUCCGUAGGUGAACCUGCGGAAGGAUCAUUAAAGAGUUAGGGUCCUCGUGGCCCGACCUCCAACCCUUUGUGAACACAACUUGUUGCUUCGGGGGCGACCCUGCCGUUUCGACGGCGAGCGCCCCCGGAGGCCUUCAAACACUGCAUCUUUGCGUCGGAGUUUAAGUAAAUUAAACAAAACUUUCAACAACGGAUCUCUUGGUUCUGGCAUCGAUGAAGAACGCAGC